rnacentral:rRNA from 1 species
GACGAACGCUGGCGGCGUGCCUAAUACAUGCAAGUAGGACGCAGUUGCGAACGGGGGAGUAACGCGUAGGUAACUACCUAUUAGAGGGGGAUAAAUAUUGGGAACAAUAGCUAAUACAGCAUACUAGUAGAGGUACCUACGGGGUAUUAGCUAGUAGGUAGGGUAAUGGCCUAACUAGGCAACGCUACAUAGCCGACCUGGGUGGGUGCACGGCCACCCUGGGACUGGGAACAGGCCCAAGUGCCUACGGUCGGCCGCAGGAGGGAAUUGUUGGAAAAGGGGGGAACGCGUACCGGAGAACGCCGCGUGAGUGGAUAAGGGUGUUGGAUCGUAAAGUGCUUGUUUUUAGGGAUCGGUACUUAACCAGAAAGGGACGGCUAACUACGUGCCAGCAGCCGCGGUAAUAC